AUGAAAUACUCUGGCCAAAUGGUAAAAUGAAAUAUACUUUGCAGAAGUCACUCUCUACUCCUCCACCAUACUCAUCCAUUUGAAACCCUAAAUCAUAUUCUCACCAAUUUCACUCUCUCUUUUUCUUCUCUUCUUUUUCUUGGUUGAGUUCUUUAAUUGGAUCAGAGUAUCUGAAUACAAGUAGUAGUAAAAAUGGUUUCGAAUUCGGAAGCUGGUGAAUUGGUUCUGGGAUGCGCUCCAGACCUUCGACCUCAAUACCACCACCGCUGACUCCAUUCGGCGCACCUUGGAGUCAGAUUUUGGCGUCGACUUGUCUGACCGCAAAGCCUUCAUCCGAGACCAAAUCAAUUCUUUUCUCGAGACUCGUGUUCAGAGGACCCACAACAACGCCGUCACUGUCAAAGAAAAAAAAGAUGAAGAAGCGAUUCACGAGGAAGCUUCAGAGACUUUGAGUUCUUUAAUCAAUGUAUAUAUAGCCAACCAAAUCUAUGCAUUUGGGGAUUGUUCUUGUUACUACUGCAUGAGUUUGUAUUAUGCAUGAUUGAUUGAGAGUUUGAUUCAAAAUUGGGAAAUUGUUUAUAAUAGCACAAUUUGAUAUCAUAGGUGAUAUAGGUUUUUAUUCUUUUAUUUUUUUGGGAAUGUUUUUAAAUUCUUCCUACUUUUGGAACGUACUUUUGUUAUCAAAUUUUGAUGUUUUUUGUGUGGAUAUUAGCCUUAAACUUGUUACUCACGUGGUUCUUUAAAAUGUGUGAAGAAAUAAAUUUGAGGGCACCUAUCUGCAUUUAAAUGUAUUGUGUAUUCUUUGAAGUGGCUACCAACCAUAAAAAGAUUAGAAAAGAUAAAAUGAAAAGAAAGAAUUCAUGCUUUUAGAGUUUUCCCUCAUACUGUAUUUCAAUUACAUGCUCAACCAAUUGUGAAUUUCUUAUGUUUUGGGUGUGUGGGGAAAUAACCUUGGGCACAUGUUGCAGGUUCUUGAAUUGUAAAUGCACUCUUUUGUCAGCUUGUUACUACCAUAAUGCAUCAAAGCCGUCUCUGUCCUCUCCCUCUAAUUGUACAACCCAUUAUCUUGAAUUAUGAUCAUUGUCUCCAUCUUUAUCCGAUUCCACAUACGGUACUUCUCUCUUCUGUUAUGUUAUCUUCAAGUAAACUUGUCUUGGAGCUCAAAAAUGGUUUAUUUGGUUAGUGUGCCAUUUCUCAGUGAAAAAUAAGUUUAGCAUACUCUAUUAGCAUGAUCUUGUUUACCGUACCUAAUGUACUAAAACCAUCCCAAUCUGAUGAACUUAUACUUUCAAAAUUUUGUUCUCAUUACAUUACGUUCUCCUCAAUUCUUUAUUUUACCCCUAAACCGCACUUGGGGUGGAGAUACUGCAAAUUGCAUUCCCUGCAGUGCUGACAUUAUCUGCUGACCCCAUUGCUUCUCUAAUUGACACAGCAUUCGUGGGCCGCUUAGGUCUGUCUUGAUGUUCUUUUUUGUUUUCUCCUGAAUGACCUUAAUUACUUUUUACUUAGAUAAUUUCUUGAGUUAAUUGCACCUUGUGAAUCAGGUUUGCUUUUAGUUUAAAUAGUGUGAUCUGCUCAUGGGGAAAUAGCAGUAGAGUUCAUAUCUCACUUUGAGGGCAACUCUACCGGUUGCUAUACAUUUUGCUAUUGCUAAAAUUUAGCAAGAUGGACACAAAAUGGGGGAAAAAAAAUAACUCUAGCAGUGUGCUAUCAUUGUGCCAAAUUUAGCAUGAUGUUAUCCACAUCAUUGUAUUUUUAAUAUAAAUUCAAUAACCUAAUUUAAUUUUUCUUUUAAGAUAACCGUUAUAUUAAAUAUUUAGAAUUUGAAAGAAUUCCAUCAACAAAUACCUAUUAUUAAAUUUUAUUUAAUGUAAGUAUGAAUAAAGCUAAAUGAAUUGAAGUUUUAGAUAUAUCAAUUACUGAAUUAUAAGUUUAGUUUAACAAUACUCGAAUACAUAUAAUUUGGUACAUGUGGUAGAAAUUAAAUCAUGCUAAAAAAUAGCAUUUGCACUGCUGAAGUGGGUUUCUCGAAACAUAGGAUUUGGUUGAUAUGAUGCAACGUUUCACAGCCAUGUAACUGGAUGUUGCUGUGAUUUCAGAGUAAGGGUGAGGAGGUUGCUUCAUAUUUAAAUAGUCGCGAUAUAUUUCUUGUUGGUGAGUUUUCUUUUGAGAAUUGUCUUCCAUAAUUGUACUUCAAGUUAUUUUUGUGAUUGAACUCUAUGGAACGUGGAAUCCAGGAAUGAUGGGCUCGAGAAAGACUAUAGUGGGCAAGGUUUUGUCUGAAGCACUAGCUUAUUCUUUUGUUGACAAGUUUUUGCGUUAACUUUAAUGUGCUUGUUUUGUUUUUUGAUGUGUACAAUAUUUUAUACACCAAAAAACACCAUAAGGGGGUGAACCUUGAACAAUA